rnacentral:misc_RNA from 1 species
UCUGGCUUAUAGCCAAGCGGUCCCCUUAGAGUGCCCAACUUAAUGAUGGUAACUAAGGGCGAGGGUUGCGCUCGUUGCGGGACUUAACCCAACAUCUCACAACACGAGCUGACGACAGCCAUGCAGCACCUGUCUCCGCGUCCCCGAAGGGAACCCCUACUUUCAUAGGGUAGCGCGGGAUGUCAAGUCCAGGUAAGGUUCUUCGCGUAGCAUCGAAUUGAACCACAUGUUCCACCGCUUGUGCGGGCCCCCGUCAAUUCCUUUGAGUUUUAAUCUUGCGACCGUACUUCCCAGGCGGGAUACUUAAUGCGUUAGCUGCGACACCACAAAGAUUAGGCUUCGUGACGUCUAGUAUCCAUCGUUUAGGGCGUGGACUAC